rnacentral:rRNA from 1 species
UUUAUCGGAGAGUUUGAUCCUGGCUCAGGACGAACGCUGGCGGCGUGCCUAAUACAUGCAAGUCGAGCGGACAGAUGGGAGCUUGCUCCCUGAUGUUAGCGGCGGACGGGUGAGUAACACGUGGGUAACCUGCCUGUAAGACUGGGAUAACUCCGGGAAACCGGGGCUAAUACCGGAUGCUUGUUUGAACCGCAUGGUUCAAACAUAAAAGGUGGCUUCGGCUACCACUUACAGAUGGACCCGCGGCGCAUUAGCUAGUUGGUGAGGUAAUGGCUCACCAAGGCA